UGCUCAGGACGAACGCUGGCGGCGUGCUUAACACAUGCAAGUCGAGCGGUAAGGCCUUUCGGGGUACACGAGCGGCGAACGGGUGAGUAACACGUGGGUGAUCUGCCCUGCACUUCGGGAUAAGCCUGGGAAACUGGGUCUAAUACCGGAUAUGACCUCCUAUCGCAUGGUGGGUGGUGGAAAGAUUUAUCGGUGCAGGAUGGGCCCGCGGCCUAUCAGCUUGUUGGUGGGGUAAUGGCCUACCAAGGCGACGACGGGUAGCCGACCUGAGAGGGUGACCGGCCACACUGGGACUGAGACACGGCCCAGACUCCUACGGGAGGCAGCAGUGGGGAAUAUUGCACAAUGGGCGAAAGCCUGAUGCAGCGACGCCGCGUGAGGGAUGACGGCCUUCGGGUUGUAAACCUCUUUCAGCAGGGACGAAGCGCAAGUGACGGUACCUGCAGAAGAAGCACCGGCUAACUACGUGCCAGCAGCCGCGGUAAUACGUAGGGUGCAAGCGUUGUCCGGAAUUACUGGGCGUAAAGAGUUCGUAGGCGGUUUGUCGCGUCGUUUGUGAAAACCAGCAGCUCAACUGCUGGCUUGCAGGCGAUACGGGCAGACUUGAGUACUGCAGGGGAGACUGGAAUUCCUGGUGUAGCGGUGAAAUGCGCAGAUAUCAGGAGGAACACCGGUGGCGAAGGCGGGUCUCUGGGCAGUAACUGACGCUGAGGAACGAAAGCGUGGGUAGCGAACAGGAUUAGAUACCCUGGUAGUCCACGCCGUAAACGGUGGGCGCUAGGUGUGGGUUCCUUCCACGGAAUCCGUGCCGUAGCUAACGCAUUAAGCGCCCCCGCCUG
rnacentral:rRNA from 1 species